CGGUCAGUGUCCAAACUUGUUCGCUCGCGUUCAGGUGGCUUCUGGAGCUCACGCUCGCUACUGAAGUGUUUCGAAGUUUAGUAAGUUUAUUUCUUGCUCAGCGUCGCGCGUAUGUUUUCUUGCAAUCUGUGGGUCAACUGGACAGUUCCGGCAUACUAUCCUAUGCAGUGAACGAUAUCGUUAAGCGAACAACGAGCGCUGCCUUUGCGGCGAGUCAACGUCCCUUUGUUCUCUGGACUUCAGGUUUCAUGGAAUUAUGUUGCGAAUGAGUGACGAGCACAAUGGAGAUGUGGGACUGAGCUAAAUGUGUUAACAAGAUUGUCGUUUGGUUACGUUCAAUGCUGUCUGUUCAGUGUGGUUGCGACGAACAAUAUGGAGAUGUGGGACUGACCUAUGUGUGCUUACAGAGUCAUGGAAUGAAGAUCACGAUUACUACGCCUGGCCUGUGAGCCAUUUGUUGGCCCUUCAGCUCAGCUCGAGCUACGAUCACAUUUUAGGGGCUUCCCGACUCAUGGGUUGAAGGUGACGAAUACAACGCCUGUCCUACGAUGAUCCCAUUUCAGUGUACCACGGAAACUUUCCUUCCGGCUUCUCACAGCCCUCUACCACCCACACGUGUGUAAAGUACUGGUUGCCUUUGGAGCACUCAAGCAUGGACCCAAAGACAGAGGCAAUGCUUGCAGCUACCAGUGAUAUAAGUGCUGCGAUUUGUGUACAUGUACAUUACUAUCUACUUUGGAAGAGAGCCUAGAUUUGUUGGUAUGUGAUUGUGCACUGAGGUGAGGUGCUCACGAUAUUCGCUAACUUGUCCACGUGUUUGGAAGUCAA